rnacentral:rRNA from 1 species
GACGAACGCUGGCGGCGUGCUUAACACAUGCAAGUCGAACGGAGUGGCGAACGGGUGAGUAACACGUGGGUGAUCUGCCUUGCACUCUGGGAUAAGCUUGGGAAACUGGGUCUAAUACCGGAUAGUGCAAGAUGAGCUCGCGGCCUAUCAGCUUGUUGGUGGGGUAGUGGCCUACCAAGGCGGCGACGGGUAGCCGGCCUGAGAGGGGGUACGGCCACAUUGGGACUGAGAGACGGCGCAGACGCCUACGGGGGGCAGCAGUGGGGAGUAGUGCGCAAUGAGCGGGAGCCUGAUGCGGCGGCGCCGGGGGGGGAAUGGCGGCCUUGGGGUUGUAAACUCCUUUCGGCAGGGACGCGGUACCUGUAUAAGAAGCACCGGCUAACUCCGUGCCAGCAGCCGCGGUAAUAC